rnacentral:rRNA from 1 species
UGGCUCAUUAUAUAAGUUAUCGUUUAUUUGAUAGUACCUUACUACUUGGAUAACCGUGGUAAUUCUAGAGCUAAUACAUGCUAAAAAUCCCGACUUCGGAAGGGAUGUAUUUAUUAGAUUAAAAACCAAUGCCCUCUGGGCUCCUUGGUGAUUCAUGAUAACUCUUCGAAUCGCACGGCCUUGCGCCGGCGAUGGUUCAUUCAAAUUUCUUCCCUAUCAACUUUCGAUGUUUGGGUAUUGGCCAAACAUGGUUGCAACGGGUAACGGAGGGUUAGGGCUCGACCCCGGAGAAGGAGCCUGAGAAACGGCUACUACAUCCAAGGAAGGCAGCAGGCGCGCAAAUUACCCAAUCCCGAUUCGGGGAGGUAGUGACAAUAAAUACUGAUACAGGGCUCUUUUGGGUCUUGUAAUUGGAAUGAGUACAAUUUAAAUCCCUUAACGAGGAACAAUUGGAGGGCAAGUCUGGUGCCAGCAGCCGCGGUAAUUCCAGCUCCAAUAGCGUAUAUUAAAGUUGUUGUGGUUAAAAAGCUCGUAGUUGAACCUUGGGCCUGGCUGGCCGGUCCGCCUCACCGCGUGCACUGGUCCGGCCGGGCCUUUCCCUCUGUGGAACCCCAUGCCCUUCACUGGGCGUGGCGGGGAAACAGGACUUUUACUUUGAAAAAAUUAGAGUGCUCCAGGCAGGCCUAUGCUCGAAUACAUUAGCAUGGAAUAAUGAAAUAGGACGCGUGGUUCUAUUUUGUUGGUUUCUAGGACCGCCGUAAUGAUUAAUAGGGACAGUCGGGGGCAUCAGUAUUCGAUCGUCAGAGGUGAAAUUCUUGGAUUGAUUGAAGACUAACUACUGCGAAAGCAUUUGCCAAGGAUGUUUUCAUUAAUCAGGAACGAAAGUUAGGGGAUCGAAGACGAUCAGAUACCGUCGUAGUCUUAACCAUAAACUAUGCCGACUAGGGAUCGGACGAUGUUAUUUUUUGACGCGUUCGGCACCUUACGAGAAAUCAAAGUGCU